UUUAUUGGAGAGUUUGAUCCUGGCUCAGGAUGAACGCUGGCGGCGUGCCUAAUACAUGCAAGUCGAGCGAAUGGAUUGAGAGCU
rnacentral:rRNA from 1 species